rnacentral:rRNA from 1 species
GGAGGAAUAUUGGUCAAUGGACGCAAGUCUGAACCAGCAACGCCGCGUGAAGGACGAAGGCCUUCGGGUCGUAAACUUCUUUUGAGGGAGACGAGCAAGGACGGUAUCCCUCGAAUCAGCCACGGCUAACUACGUGCCAGCAGCCGCGGUAAAACGUAGGUGGCGAGCGUUAUCCGGAUUCAUUGGGCGUAAAGAGCUUGUAGGCGGCCGCAUAAGUUGGACGUGAAAACUCCGGGCUUAACUUGGAGAGGCCGUUCAAUACUGUGAGGCUGGAGGGUGUCAGAGGGAAGUAGAAUUCCUGGUGUAGCAGUGAAAUGCGUAGAUAUCAGGAGGAAUACCCGUGGCGAAGGCGGCUUCCUGGGGCACCACUGACGCUGAGAAGCGAAAGCUAGGGGAGCAAACGGGAUUAGAUACCCCCGUAGUCC